rnacentral:rRNA from 5 species
AAUCCAUAGGUUAAUGAGGCGAACCGGGGGAACUGAAACAUCUAAGUACCCCGAGGAAAAGAAAUCAACCGAGAUUCCCCCAGUAGCGGCGAGCGAACGGGGAGGAGCCCAGAGCCUGAAUCAGCAUGUGUGUUAGUGGAAGCGUCUGGAAAGGCGCGCGAUACAGGGUGACAGCCCCGUACACAAAAGCGCAUGUGCUGUGAGCUCGAUGAGUAGGGCGGGACACGUGGUAUCCUGUCUGAAUAUGGGGGGACCAUCCUCCAAGGCUAAAUACUCCUGACUGACCGAUAGUGAACCAGUACCGUGAGGGAAAGGCGAAAAGAACCCCGGCGAGGGGAGUGAAAAAGAACCUGAAACCGUGUACGUACAAGCAGUGGGAGCAC